rnacentral:lncRNA from 1 species
AUAGUUUUGAUGGAACAGUUGUAUAUCCCGAAGUGUAAAUAGUUUAGAUGAUUUUAAUAUUGUUUCAAUAUUCAUGAAUAUAUAUGGUACAAAUUGUACAGAAAGUAACAUCCGAUUGUUGGAUUUGUUAAUCCCACGAUAGUACAAUGUAUAACAGUAUAAAAAUGGGACUACCCGCUCACUUAUCUUCCAAGUGUAGAAGUUUAAUGAAU